rnacentral:rRNA from 1 species
AUUGAACGCUGGCGGCAGGCCUAACACAUGCAAGUCGAACGAGUGGCGGACGGGUGAGUAAUGUCUGAUAAACUGCCCGAUGGCGGGGGAUAACUACUUGAAACAGUCAGUAAUACCGCCUUCCAUACAAUUUGCCCAGAUGGGAUUGGCUAGUAGGUGGGGUAACGGCUACCCUAGGAGACGAUCCCUAGCUGGUUUGAGCGGAGGACCAGCCACAUGGGAAGUGAGCCAGGGCCCAGAUCCCUACGGGAGGAAGAAGUGGGGAAUAUUGCAAAAUGGGCGCAAUCCUGAUGCAGACAGCCCGCGUGUAUGAAGAAGGCCUUCGGGUGGUAAAGUAUGUUCAGCGAGGAGGCGUUACUAGAAGAAGAAGCACCGGCUAACUCCGUGCCAGCCGCCGCGGUAAUAC